ensembl:lncRNA
AGUAUCUUAGAGAGGCAGAGUCUCUCAAAAGUAAAGAUGGGAUGGAAUCUGGAUGGAAGUAUAUGUUGCUCCAAAACCUGUAUGUACCUUUCAGCAUUGAUGGUGCCUUUCCAGAUGUGCAAGCUGUCCAUUCCAUAGGCACUAAUGCACUCACAUACCAUCAGAGAUGCAGGCUUUUGAACUGAGCGUUGAUAAAAAGCCAGAUGGUCCCUCUCCUCUUUAGUCCUCUUUAGUGGACAUGGUUUCCACUUUAGUUUAGUGGACAUGGUAUCCAUGGUUUGCAAAAAGAAUUUAAAAUUUCGAUUCUUCUGACCACAGUUGUCCACUUUGCCUCGAUCCAUUUUAAAUGAUCUUUGGCACAGAGAAAACGGUGGUGUUUCUGGAUCAUGUCAAUAUAUAGUUUCUUCUUUGCAUGAUUGAGCCUUAACCACCGUUUGUGGAUGGCACGGCGAACUGUGUUCACAGACAGUGAGUUCUGGAGGUGUUUCUGGACCCAUGCAGUGAUUUUCCAUUACAGAAUCAUACCUGUUUUUAAUGCAGUCCAUAGAUCAUGGGUAGGCAAUACGGACUUUUUACUGUUCUUCAGAAUAGAACGUAGAAAACACCAAAUGCUUAAACUGAGUACAUGUACCGUCGAAACUUUGAUUCAAGAGUGACAUUUGCAUCGCUUAAUCAUGCUCAGGCCCUUUAUAGCCCGGUUCACACCAGGACGUUUUUCGCAGUGCGUUAAACGGUGCGUUUUUUGUGUUCACACCCACAUGUUAAAUGUGGGCGACACGCUGAAUGAAAGUGCAAAUUCACUCCCUGACAGUAGAUGGUGCUUAUUGAAAAGCAGUAAUACCCCGGUACAAGGUGGCGCUGCACAACUUUCCAUUUCUGACACUUGCUCUUCACUGAGAAGAAGAAGAGAGCGCCCAAGAAAUAACUGUUCUGUUGAAUGAAGAAAGACGAUGGAAAAGAUGCCGAUAUUGGAUACACCUCAUGUUUAAGAGAAGAGAAGAACAUGGAGAGUUUCACCGACUGACACAAGAGCUGAAGCUGCAUCAUGAAGAUUUUUUUCUCUUUACUUACAAUUUCUCUGUGAACUUGAAUAAAAUUUAAUCCUAUCUAUUGCAUCCAAGUGUCCGUUAUUUUCAUCAAUUAAUACAUAAUAUCUAUAAGCACCAGCUCUCAAU